AUUGAACGCUGGCGGCAGGCCUAACACAUGCAAGUCGAGCGGAUGAUGGGAGCUUGCUCCUGGAUUCAGCGGCGGACGGGUGAGUAAUGCCUAGGAAUCUGCCUGGUAGUGGGGGACAACGUUUCGAAAGGAACGCUAAUACCGCGUACGUCCUUCGGGAGAAAGCAGGGGACCUUCGGGCCUUGCGCUAUCAGAUGAGCCUAGGUCGGAUUAGCUUGUUGGUGAGGUAAUGGCUCACCAAGGCGAAGAUCCGUAACUGGUCUGAGAGGAGGAUCAGUCACACUGGAACUGAGACACGGUCCAGACGCGUACGGGAGGCAGCAGUGGGGAAUAUUGGACAAUGGGCGAAAGCCUGAUCCAGCCAUGCCGCGUGUGUGAAGAAGGUCUUCGGAUUGUAAAGCACUUUAAGUUGGGAGGAAGGGUUGUAGAUUAAUACUCUGCAAUUUUGACGUUACCGACAGAAUAAGCACCGGCUAACUCUGUGCCAGCAGCCGCAGUAACAC
rnacentral:rRNA from 1 species